AGGAGAGGCAUUAGGCAAGAAGAAUUGGGUGAGAAUCUCGAUAGGAGUAGAGAGAUCAAUGCUAGAAGACGCUUUCGCGAGGCUCAAAAGCUUCGUCGCUCGCCAUGUCAAAUCACAAACCACAUAAGAUCAGCUUCAUUGUCGGAAACCUGAGACCCUAUCUUUCUACUGUUUUUGUAUUUCUCUAUUAAAUAAUUUCUCAAUAAAGAUUGAGACUUUGGAUUAUUGUCUGUGUGUGUGUGUGGGCGCGUAUGUGUAAGCAGCUAUGCUUGUCCAGUUCUCCGUUAGAAUGUCGUUUUAAUUAGUCGAGUCGAGUCAAAACAUGAUGGCGCGAGCUUAAUUACCAUCUUGGGUUUUAUGUAUGACGAGUUGGAAAUAAAUAUAAUAUUUGACGAUUAAACCUUUUACUCCUUCAAAAUAUUUUUAUGAGUUAACACAUAUUAAAUGAAUUUAAGUAUUUAUAACUAAUUAUAUUAUACUCCUUCCCUUCGUUUCAAUUUAGUUCUUUUUGUAAAGUAAUUUUUUUUAUUUCAAAAUAAUACUGUUUUAUAAAUUCAAAACAAAAUUAUUAAUUUUAUAUUUUAAUCUAUUUUAUAUUGGUUAAAAUGUGGUUAUAUGUAUUAGUAGUAAUGUUUUUAUUUAGUAAAUAUACAAAAUUAAAUGUUUUACUAAUUUGAAUGCAAAGUUUAAAAUGACAAUUAAAACGAAACGUAAGAAAUAUUAACAAAUAAUACACAGUUUUUAAUACAUAUCGAUCAACAAAAUUAAAUUAAAUUAGAUUUUAAUGUAAAGUAUAUAAUUCAUUAAUAUAAAUUAAUAAAAUAUUUUACUUUUGUGAAACAAUAAAAAAGUUAAAAAAAAAUUACUUUAAUAAGUUGUAAAGUAGGUGAUAAAUAAAUAUCAAACCACAACAGGACACGUGACAGGUCCAUCAUACACCGCAAAGCAGUUGAUAAACACUCUCGUCCAUCUUGGGAGAAAGGGAAGGCAUCGUCGUCGUCUCUCUUUAUAAACCCUAAAAAGUACAUCGAUUCCUCCAUUAGGGCGAACGCGAAAUCUAAAAUUAGAGAGCGAUGGCGAGUACAGCAGCUGCGACGGGAACGACGACGGCGAAGAGAAAACCUGUGUUUGUGAAGGUUGAGCAGCUGAAGCCUGGAACGACCGGUCACACAUUGACUGUCAAGGUCGUUGACGCCAAUCCUGUGGUUCCGGCUGCGAGGAAGGCUCGUCCGGGGAGUUCUAUGGGUCGUCCGUCUCAGCCGAGUCGAAUCGCUGAGUGUCUCAUCGGAGACGAAACCGGGUGUAUUCUCUUCACUGCUCGUAACGAUCAAGGUUACUCACACUCCUAGUCUUUUUCUUACAUGAUGUGGAAAUGGUAUUUGUCUUAUUGAUAAAGUCUGAUCCUUUAGGUUCUUUAAUGCACAUCUGUCAAUGUUUAGACUUGUAAGAUAAAACAGGUGAUGUGUCUUGUGUUGAUUUUUGGACAUAUAUUGCAAAAAGCUGUCAUCUUGUCUGAAAAUCUGCACAAGACUAGUGUUUUGUCUUUCGUCUUUGCUGAUUAAGUGAUGUCUUUGUGCAAUUUAAGAGGCUUUGAGGUUUCUCUGUAAUAUCAUCUUGCUUGGUCAGAUGUUGAGUUAGAUGUUAUAACAUGACUCCAAGACUUACAUAGCUUUUCCUGUAAAAAAAGUUUGUUUUUGUGCCAGUUAUUGUGGAAUCCCUGUGGCUUAGUGAUUAGAUUGAUUUCUUUCUUUUGUUUGUUUGUGUGUAUAGUUGAUCUUAUGAAGCCGGGGGAAACAGUGAUAGUGCGCAAUUCGAGGAUAGACAUGUUCAAGGGUACAAUGAGGCUAGGGGUUGAUAAAUGGGGACGCAUCGAAGCCACUGAGCCUGCUUCUUUCACAGUCAAAGAGGAUAACAAUCUGUCUCUUGUUGAAUACGAACUGAUUAACGUUACUGAUCAGUGAAUGUCGUUUAGUAUCUUUACAAUGAGGCUAGUAUUUGGUUCUGAUUCUUCUAUCGUUAAUGUCUUUUGAUUUAGAUGAUGAAGCUUUUGUAUUACUGGUUCAGAUAUGCUUUCUUUUUUUUACCUUAAAACAUGAUCCCAGAAUCUCGCUUAUUGAUCGAGGCAAUGGCAAUGGUAUUGUUCCCUUGAAUCUGUUGAUGUUGUGUUAAAAACCAUUGAGAGCUUUCUAAUGCUCCCCAAUCUUUGAAGUCAAACAAAGAACUUCACGAAAGAGAUAUGAACCUGAAAUGGGCAUAACUUAUAAUAGCAUAGAGAGUCUUACAACACAGCAAAAAUGUUCCACGUUCCUAUCACAAGCCCCUCGUGUUUCAAUACCAACAAAGGAAACAAGAACAAAACGAGAUAGAAAACUAGACUCACUCCACUUCUUUGAUGAUCCUUCUUGUCCGAUGAGAUUCAGUGACAACUGUUCCUGGGGCACUAUGAGCUUUCCUACGCUCAUCUUUCCUUCUCUUCGCAUCGUUCAUAGCUCUGCUUUCCGCUUUUGCUUUGUAUAUAGGUUUCGGCAAGUGCCUGUGUCUGUAAUUUCACAUCAACCAAAAACGUUAAUGUUUUAGUCUUUUGACAAAAUCUCCAAAGUUGGAAGCCAUUUUUAUCUAUGAUCAUGUACCUGACAAUACGCUUGAUCUCAGGAAGAUGCUUGUACCGAUUCUUCACCGCCUCAUUGUACUCAUGCUUCUUCUGCUCCCUUGGAAGAAUCUGCAACCACCAAUCAACAUAUGAGAAUUUGCCAUUUUCAUUUUGUUUAAAAGAAGCUUAAUGCUAUAUAACAUUAAAAAAGGCACAGAUUCUUACAACUCCUAGUUGCUCUGAUGCUUUGGCCUUCCAUAGCCUGAGAUUAGUGUCAUCACUGCCGGAUAUAACAUAGGUAGCAUCACUGCUAUACUUGACACAGAAUACUCUACAAGAGACAAGUAAGUAAACAAACGCAUUAAUAUAUUAAAAACGUUUACAAUUAAGUUUCACCAGGGUACCUCUGCAUCCUCUUCGUAUGGUAGAUUUCCCUGCUGUGUCCUCCAUUGUAUGGGAAGAUUCUCACGGAUCGAUCAUAAGAACCGGUAACGAACUCACGACCAGUUGGUGAAAAAUCAAUAUCCAUCCUGGAAAAGAUGAUUAAAAUUGAUAAAUCAUAAUGCAUUAUGAUAAUCACACGUUGAAUACUUGACCGGGGGUUUUAUCAUUCUUACACAGCAGAAACAUGAUCUUUAUGCACGCACUUGGCUUCUUCAUUCUUUCUACCAUCAAAGCUAUAGCAGUUGCCAUCUUCAUUUGCCUAUUCAGUUUCAUCAAUUAAGACAUAAGCCAAGGACAAAUGCUUAGAGAAAUUUUCGUUCUAUGAUCAUCACUUACAGCUGUGAAGUUCAUAGGCUCCAUAGGGUUCCAUGCGAUUGAAUUUGUUUUGGUCUGCCAAAGGAGAAGCAAUUUUUUAAGUUUGAAGAGUAAAAAAAGGAAACAGGGCGGCCAAAGAAGCGGCAAGUGUUUCAAUAAAAAGUGUCCUUUCCAGGUUAUACGACAACUGCAGCAAAGACGUUAAAAAGACCCUUUUGCCCCUGGGUCACGGUGAUCCGUCCGUCUACCCUUGCUUCAAGACUUCCGUUGAUGCUGAGGAAGCCGUUGCUGAGUCCCUACGAUCUGGCGCCGCCAACUCCUACGCCCCCGGGGUUGGUAUUUUACCGGCCAGGAGGUACUUAAGUAGUCACUAAUUGUUAUGUUAUGCAUAUGCUUCAUUUUAAAAACUUUAGUGGCUUAGAAAUAGUUAUCUCGUUAUUGGUCGGUUGGUCGGGUAAUAGAGCAAAGAAAACAUGCUAAUAGAAACAUUUUCAAAACUAAAUUAAUGUGGUAAAAAAUCUAUCGAUUAGAAAAAUAGUGUGAAGUGUAAAAUGUCAAUGAAGAACGACUUGAAAUUAUAUAUGAAGUCUUAUAUACGAUUCAAAAGCUUUAUGACUUUAUGAGAUAUUACACUUUUAUGAGGUAUUACACUAUGCAUGCUAUGCAUUUUCGAAACUAUACAUAACCUUUACAGCUAUUUUUAUACUACUAUUAAUUUAGGGCGGUGGCAAAUUAUUUGAACCGGGACCUUCCGCAUGAAUUAAAAUCAGACGAUAUAUUUAUGACGGUCGGGUGUUGCCAAGGGAUAGAGACCAUAAUUCAUGUUCUGUCCUGUCCCAAGUCGAAUAUCUUGCUCCCCAGUCUUAUCUAUCCUCUCUACUAUAGUCACGCUAUAUAUAGCCAAGUCGAGAUUCGCAAAUAUGAUCUCCUCCCUGACCAAGACUGGGAGAUCGAUCUCCAAGGCAUUGAAGUCAUUGCAGAUGAUAACACAAUCGCUAUGGUGAUAGCUAACCCUCACAACCCAUGUGGAAAUGUGUACACAUAUCAGCAUCUAAAGAAGGUGAAAUUGUAUACCUUUAAGUUAAUAUUCUUUUUAACUUCACUCUUUUUCUUUGUCAACCGCCCAUUUGGCUAACCAUAUUUUUGCCAAUUUCACUAUUAUUUAUGUUACAUUUUUAUAUGUAUGUAUGAGGGUCGGCUUACUAUGAAAGCCAACACAUAUGGACCUCCCCGGUCCAACUCUAAUUAAGUACAAUCAUUUUAAGCCCCUUAUAUUUUACAACAUAUAUUAUAUCAGAUUUAGAUUUAACCACAUCCUGUUACCAGUUAUUACAUUACAUGUCUUUGUUCAAAACACUAACUGAUAAUUAUUUUAAAGUUUUCAGAUUUUUUUUAUAAUAUUUUUGAAAAGUUAAUUAUAGGAGCUUUAAAAAGUUACCCAAGAACCCCUAAUAAUAUUUGAGCUGUCCUGUAGGUGGCUGAGAUGGCGAAGAAGCUAGGGAUAAUGGUUAUUUCUGAUGAAGUUUAUAAGCACACAAUAUAUGGAGAGAAUUCAUUUGUCCCGAUGGGGAUAUUCGCAUCGAUUGUUCCUGUGGUUACACUCGGAUCCGUUUCCAAGGGGUGGCUCGUCCCUGGCUGGAGAAUAGGUUGGAUGGCGAUGCAUGAUCCAAAUAAUGUUUUCAAAGCCACUGGGGUAGGGUUUUCAGUUUUGGAUCAUCCUUUGAUACUUAUUUAAUAUAUCUUCCUCUUGGACGUGAUAUAAUAAACGUUGUAGAUAUGUGACAGUUUGAACAUGUAACCAUAUCUUUUUUGCCAUUAAGGUCGUUGAAUCCAUCAAGGACCUUCUUAACAUAAGUCCAGAUCCAUCGACAAUUCUACAGGUUUGUACUCUCAAAUUUAUAUUAGAAUACACGAAGAAAACACAUGCAAUGAGUUAAAGGUAAAAUGUAAAAGAACUAGUGUGUUUCUUUUUUGAAAAAUAAAGAACUAAUGUGCUAUAAUUGAUAGGUUGCACUUCCAAAUAUCUUGGAGAAGACAAAGAAAGAUUUCUUUGAUAAGAAAAACUUAACAUUUAGGCAAAAUGUAGACAUGAUGUUCGAUGCCCUCAAGGAGGUUCCUUGCCUCGUUUGCCCUAAGAAACCUGAGUCGUGUGCUUACUUAGUGGUACCAAUUUCUUUUUAUACGUACAUAUUUUUUUUCUCUAAACAUUCUGAAUAAUCUUUAUAAGUAUAUACUAUAAUAUGCAAGCUCGCUGAUACUAUUUCCCUAAUCAUUUAAUCUUUUAAGGUUCUUAGCACACUUUUAUAAUUUUGAUAUUACUUUUUGUAACCAAAAUAUCAGUAUUAUUAUGAAUGGUACAUGUUCAUCAGAUCCUAUGUAAAAAAGUGUCACUACUCACUCACUAGUGACAAUCUAAUUUGUAUAUAUGGCAGACAAAAUUGGACCUAUCACUAUUGGAGGACAUCACAGACGAUGUUGAUUUCUGCAUGAAGCUGGCCCGAGAGGAGAAUCUCGUCCUUUUACCAGGUAAGCAUCACAAUUCACGUCAUCUAAGAUUUUGAAGUAAUUAUAAUGUUUUUUUUUUUUGAACAUGUAAUUAUAAUGUUUUUUAAUAAGAAGAAAUUAAAUCAUGAGAGAGAUGAGCUGAUCUGGAAUCUAAAUGCAGGAGAGGCAUUAGGCAAGAAGAAUUGGGUGAGAAUCUCGAUAGGAGUAGAGAGAUCAAUGCUAGAAGACGCUUUCGCGAGGCUCAAAAGCUUCGUCGCUCGCCAUGUCAAAUCACAAACCACAUAAGAUCAGCUUCAUUGUCGGAAACCUGAGACCCUAUCUUUCUACUGUUUUUGUAUUUCUCUAUUAAAUAAUUUCUCAAUAAAGAUUGAGACUUUGGAUUAUUGUCUGUGUGUGUGUGUGGGCGCGUAUGUGUAAGCAGCUAUGCUUGUCCAGUUCUCCGUUAGAAUGUC
rnacentral:lncRNA from 1 species